rnacentral:rRNA from 1 species
UACGAAGGGGGCUAGCGUUGCUCGGAAUUACUGGGCGUAAAGGGAGCGUAGGCGGACAGUUUAGUCAGAGGUGAAAGCCCAGGGCUCAACCCUGGAAUUGCCUUUGAUACUGACUGUCUUGAGUGUGGGAGAGGUGUGUGGAACUCCGAGUGUAGAGGUGAAAUUCGUAGAUAUUCGGAAGAACACCAGUGGCGAAGGCGACACACUGGCCCAUUACUGACGCUGAGGUGCGAAAGCGUGGGGAGCAAACAGG